GUAGGUGAACCUGCGGAAGGAUCAUUACAGAGUUCAUGCCCUUCGGGGUAGACCUCCCACCCUUGAAUAUAUACCUUUGUUGCUUUGGCGGGCCGCUUCGGCUACUGGCUUUGGCUGGUGAGCGCCCGCCAGAGGACCCAAAAUUCUGAAUUAAGUGUCGUCUGAGUACUAUAAAAUAUUUAAAACUUUCAACAACGGAUCUCUUGGUUCUGGCAUCGAUGAAGAACGCAGCAUCUGACUGACUCGGGCA
rnacentral:misc_RNA from 1 species